CCCUUAGAUGUUCUGGGCCGCACGCGUGCUACACUGAGUGGAUCAGCGGGUCAGGUUGCGCGAAAGUGUUUCCUAAUCUUUAAAUCCGCUCGUGAUGGGGAUUGACGGUUGCAAUUUUCCGUCAUGAACGAGGGAUACCUUGUAAGCGCGGGUCAUCAUCCCGCGCUGAAUACGUCCCUGCCCUUUGUACACACCGCCCGUCGCUCCUACCGAUUGAGUGGUCCGGUGAGGCUUUGGGAUCUGAGCGGAAAGAGCGUUUCGCUGUUUCUGCUCGGAAAACUCAGUCGAACCUUAUCAUUUAGAGGAAGGAGAAGUCGUAACA
rnacentral:rRNA from 1 species